rnacentral:lncRNA from 1 species
UGACGAUAAACGAUAAUCAAUUUGACAAACGAUAAUGGUAAUUAUGCUGACGAGAGAGAGAUUCGAACGUAGCUACAAAGGCUACAAAGGUGAAUCACUCAGCUCUAACCAACUCGAUUAACUCGAUUCCAAACAAAUAAAGAUGGAAUAAUUACGCUAAAUUCAUUUACACUGUAGGAGAGAUAUUCAAACAUAACUACACAGGUAGAUCACACAACUUUAGCCAACUCAACUAACUCAAUUUCAAAAAACUAACAAUAGAUGAUAAUAAAUUUGACUAAAUAGGAUAAUUAUGCUAAAUUUAAGUACACUCCGAGAGAGAGAGAAAGAUUCGAACUCAGCUACAAAUGCAGAUCACACGAUUUUAACCAACUCACUAACUCAAUUCCAAAUAGUUAACAAUAAAUUUGACAAACGAUAUAAUAACUACGCUAAAUUCAUCUGAAAUACGACAAAAGAGUUUCAAAUUAAACACAAAACUCAAACUAAAAUCGUGCUAAUUUAGUCAACUCGACUAAACUGAGGAAAGGAAGAAAAGAUUUAUGCAUACCUUUUUCUGGCCCUGCCAACUUUGGCGGCCAUGCAGAAAUUGAGAAAAGUGUAGAGAACGACGGCGAGGACUACAUAGCCGUAUUCUUUGGGCAGCAAUUCGACUGCAGAAGCCAUUUUUUCUUCUUCUCUUCUUCACAUGGGUUUAAUUUGGACAUUGGGGUAUCCACCUUUACCAGUCUUAUACUUGUUUGCCGACUUUUUCUCCAAGACAACUCUAGAGUUUAAUAUUUCUACAGUCUAAUACAGAGGGCUACUUUGCUCACUGCUGAUGCUCACUUUCAUUGAUGUUGUUAGAUUCGUUUGAUAUAAUUGUUUUAACAAAAUUGUUAUUUUUCCUUAAAAAAAUAUCAUCAUUUAUUAUUAUUUUUUCACGAGACCGUAUAUGUUGGUGAGUUCUAUUUUUAUUAGAGAGAUGAUACACAUAAUAGUACAAAUAGAAGUGUAGCACUACUCUUAAUUUAAUACACAAAACUUAAGAUCUAAACUAGAGAUUUAACGGUGGUGCAUUUUUGCUCAUCACCCUAAAGAAUGGUAGUGCUCAUCACCUAUUUAGAUGAAUAUAAAUUUUGACUUCUGUUUAUUUACUGUACAAAUAUCAAAAUUUAAAUUUAUCUAACGAUAAUAAAUAUGGUGUUGAACAUCGCCAUCACUUGAAUUAGUGAGCAAAAAUAUUCCCAUAAGGGUUGAGGAAAAAUGCACUCACCAAGUGGGUUGACCCCAAACAACAAAAUAAAAAGAUAAAAAUACAUGCUUGUGUAACAAGUACAUUAAUUUUUUAGAGUAGGAGUGGUUGGUUUUCGUGAUCGACUUUUCCUCCAUGCCAUCCCUUUAUCUUUGACAUUUUUUAUUUCAAUCUUUAUCUUUGACAUUAACUCCAAUCAAUUUUCCAAAGAGUAAUAUUUUAUGCAACUCUAAAACGGCCACACACGUGCCUUUCACGUGCUAAUUCCAUUGAAAAAGUAGCAGAACUACAUUAUUGAUUGUCUUCAAAUUCUAACAAUUUCUAAAUUACAUGAUUUAAUGACUCAUUUGAAGUAUUUUUAAAAUAAUUGAAAAUAUUAUAAAGACAUGAUUUUUAAGUUCCAAAAGUUAAAAUGCAUCAUGUAAGAAACAUCGGUUAUGUGUUUAUUUCACAAAACAAUUUAAGUAUUUUUCUAGAACUUACAUACAUUUUUAUUAAAGAUUGAUUAUAAAAAGAUUUUCACAAAUCCAAAUGGGCUCUAAAUUGCAACAAUUGUAACUACAAGGACGAAAGUAGACGUUUUCUACAAGUACCAAAAUCAUACAUUUGGCCAAAACAAAAGGAACAAGAGAACAAAACAAAAGGGGAGACGAAAACAACACAAGAAAGUAGCCAUUACAUACAAAGAUACAAGCCAUAAAAUUCCACAUAAACAUUGUAAAAUCCCUAGAGGCAGAGGGCCUAAGAGCAACUCUACCGUUGCAAAGGCCCUCUAGGGCAAGUCACUAUUGAAUAGCCUAUAAUGAACAGUAACUGUCUUAAUGAACAGUAACUGUCUUUUGCAUCUCCACCCCUUCACUGAAUAGCCCUGACAAUAGGCAAUAAAAUAUUAGUAUUUUUUUAUUUUAUAAAAUAAUACAAAAUAAUUUUAUUUGUAAUUUCGGAUAUGAUUUUUAAUAGGUCUCGUUGUACCACGUGUCAUUAAAUAAAAAAUUACAACCCAAAGUAUUUAAGAAAAUAUAAAAUUAUGGUGUAAGUUGGAAGAUAAUGAUAACAUACUUAUAGAAAAUUAAAUCAAUUUAUUUUUUUUGGAUUUUUUUAAUUAAAAUUUUACUUUUUUUUUAAUUAAUUUUUUAUAUUGUGGCUGACAUCACCAUGACAUUAGCCUUGCAUCACAUGGCCUUUGGGCUGGCAACUCGUGUCGGGCCUCUCCCUCUAGCCUCGCCAGCACAUGCUAGAUCAAGUUGCUUGGGCUUUCUGGUCCUGUUUGAGAGCCAGUCCAUCGGGCUAUUGCCCACGGUGAAACUGCUCUAAACGUACGAUGACGACUUAGCCUAUGUUUUGCAGAGUUUGCACUUCUGACUGCGACGCAAUUCCUGAUUGAUUGUGUUAGACUUCCCAAUUUUUCCCGUCGAAAUACUUAAUCUCAACGCAAGUGAGUGUUCCAGGAUCAACACACCUAAACGUGAUUGUGACCCCAUCAGGGUUCUCGCGUUGAUAAUAGAAUGAAGUUAUCCCACAAACUUUACAGAACAUGUGCUUUGUAGUAUGAGUACCGAAGGUGUUGGUUGUAAGAAACUGCUCAGAAUCACCCCAAAGUUUAAAUCUUUCAGCAGGGACAACGAAAGCGAUGGUACCCCUUAUAGAGCAAUUCGAGCAGUUGCAACUCGUAGCCACAACACUGCUAGGUGCCUUCACUCGCCAUCUUACAUUCUUGCAGUGGCACCCGCCUUCAUGUACUACCAUUGUAGAGUCCAUGUGUGACAGCCCGUCCCGUAUUAUCAUUUUCGAAAGUGUGAAAUUACUAAAUACCCUUAAACGUUUUAAAGAAUUAGAACUUUAGGGUUUGUUUAAUUACCCUAGUUUUUAAGCGUGGAUGAUUUUUGUACGUUUUGUUUGCUCGUGUUUGAAAGAUUGUGGCUUGUGGACCACAUACACUCAUGGGAUACAGAGAAACCAUCCCUUUUUCUUCUUCUUUCCCGUGAUUCCCUCAAACACUCACUCUCACUCUCUCUCUCUCCCUUCGAACACUCUCUCUCUCUCUCUUCAUACGGACCAUCAUCAAAGUUCAUCAAAACUUCACAGAUCGAAGAAACAAAGAUCACCAUCGUCUUCGUCUCGUCGAUACGAGUUCAUCCAUACCUAUUUCAGGUAAGAACUUCAACGUUUUCACGUCCAACCACUCACCUCCGAGUUUGACACUAUUCAUCAACUUUGUAUUGGUUGAUUUUUAGGAGUUUUCAAGCUUGUAGGAAGCUUCUUGAGGUCCUUAGGAGGCUCGGCGUAGUUCGUUGGAGGUUUUUGGACGUAAGAAUAUCGAGAUCGAAAAGUUCAAGUUUGACCCGUGCCUUUCGAGUCGUUUUCCGGCCAAACCACGGAGAGUUAGACGUCGUGCGAGGUACCAUUCUCUUCGUCUCUUCGAGAAAUACAACUUUCGUUUUUGUUUCACCCAAUUUCGUUGAGUAUUAAAGAAGUUAUACUCAUUUGAAUCUUACCCAGUUUCCGGCGAGUCCGACGGCUUUCGAGGCUUUUUACGGUGAAUUAUCGGCGAUUUAAGGGUCGAGAAGGGUAUAGAUAUGUUUGUCUCGUCAAUAUCUUCAGUUUGAUAUAAAGUACGUUGAAAAUGGUGAAGAAAUGACAAAGUUAUGGCAAUUUGAAAAACUGCCCAGAAACCGGCGAAACCAGUCCGGCGAGCCGAGGAAGAAGACGCGCGUGGGCGCGCGUGGACCGCCACUUUGGGCGGCGCGUGGGGGCGCGUCCGGCAUCCGACCGGCGCGUGGUUUGUACGUACGCGUUAGUGUCGUCGAGUAGAUCGAUUUCAUAUAUUUAUACCCUAGGUUUGAGCAAAUUAUGAGCGUUUUAUUUAGGUUUCCGUUAUGUGCUUUAAUUAAUGUUAUUUAGUUAUUUCAUAUAUAGGGGAAACUUAUUCCGAGGAUUUUCGAGGCCAAGCUAGGCUCGGGGGCUACGAUUUAACGACGUACUUGUGAGUGGGUAGUUGUUUAUACCUAUAUAUAUUUAUAGUUUCCAUAAAUGCGUAUUUACUUCAUUUUUACGCCUAUAUUGCCUAGUAUCAUUAUUAUGAUAUAAAUUGUGAUAAAUGCUGCUAUAUGGUUGUGAUAUUACUGUCAUGGCAUCAUACAUACUUGUGUACAUGCUCAUCUUGCUGCACCUGGUGUUAGUACUCGCCCCAGGGCCAGGGCCAGUCCUUCACGUGUAUGUUCACAUCCGCACCGUUCGCUCACCUUGGAUCCAAGUUUAGGUGCCAGUCUUGUCGGGUAGAUUGCAUUAGGCGAUCUGACUUGUAUGUGAUGUGCUUUUGCACCAGUUUUCACGUGAUCGUAGUACUAGAGCAUAUUGAUUACACCCAGUCCUGUUCGUGUCAGAAACCAUCUGUCCAAACUUGUGUGUCAGCUUAGAUGGAUGAGCACUUAGUUGUAUUGAUUAUCACUUGAUUAUUAUUGUGGCAUAUGAUACAUCAUUGACUUGGCAUAAUUCUGGUUAUAUGGUUUAUAUAUAUUGGAUUUCAUACUUACGUAGUAUGUUUUGAGGAAAUUAUACUUGUUUUACGGCGAGGGGUUAGUAUAUUCAAAGAUAAAGGUUUUCUUAUAAGCAUUGUUUUACUGACCCACUCAAUUUUGUUUUGCGCCCCUCCAUGUAUAAGAUAACAGAGCUUUGGUGGCCACGAGGAAUCCAACGAUGUUCUGAUAGAAUUCAUAAAAGUAGGACUCACCCUCGGGUGUUUCAUCUUAGUAAUUGUAUUCUUUAAAGCUUUCGAAAUGUGUAAAUGGUUACGUCACUCUCACGUGACGGCCAACAUGCCCUCCUUCGGGAUGGGGUGUGCCACCAUGCCUCACGAUUUUAAGUCUUCAACAGCGCUAAUGAACAGGAUUAUUUCUUCGAAUUUCUAAAUGCACACUGACACACCCCGAUCCUAAAAUCAAGGCGUGAUGGCCAUCAAGUGAGCGUGACGUAGCCAAAAGUGCGACACGGAAGCAAGAGAUAAUAGAAAUAUGAAGGAAUUUAAACCAACCACUAGCAGUAAUAACCUACUAGCAUAAAAGAGUGAGUUCUAAAGUAAAACACACGAAUUCAGGGCGUAGGUAUCAAGUGCAGUCUAGUAGGACUAUAAUUAAAAGUACAACACCUGCAGGUGAGUCCUACAUGCAGAACGUCUAUCAGAACGCCGAAAAGACCUCGUGAGCAACCAACUGCUAACUAGAACCUGGAGGGGCCCAAAACAAAGAUGAGUGGGUCAGUAAAAUCAAAGAUUUUCCAAAACAUUUCCUUUAAAACAUUUCUAACCCCUCACCGUAAAACCUAUAUACUUUUCCAGAAAUUUAUUAUAAAACAUAUAUACAUAUAUCAUCAAACUCAGCUCACAAUCUUUCAAAGCUUUUCAGAAAGAAUAUGCCAUGCCAUGCCAUGCCAAAAUAUAAUAUGAAUGCAUUGAUAUAAAUCAGGUGAAAUAAUAAAUCAACCGGAGACUCUACAAUGGUCCUUUUAAUUAUAGUCCUACUAGACUGCACUUGAUACCUACGCUUUGAAUUCGUGUGUUUUACUUUAGAACUCACUCUUUUAUGCUAGUAGGUUAUUACUGCUAGUGGUUGGUUUAAAUUCCUUCAUAUUUCUAUCAUCUCUUGCUUCCGUGUCGCACUUUUGGCUACGUCACGCUCACGUGACGGCCAACACGCCUUGAUUCUAGGAUCGGGGUGUGUCAGUUUGGUAUCAGAGCCUAGGUUGCAGUCCUGUAUAAUUGUUAAUGCUCUAAUGAUCUUUUGAUGUUUUCUGUCAGAAUUAUGCCGCCUCGUAGGGAACGUAUGGAAUCCCGCCGUAGUUCUGAACCUAAUUUCCCUGAUAUCACUCAGUUAGGGGAAGCAAUGGCCUAGGCUUUUCAGAAUGCAAUUUGUCCUCCUCCCCCUCCUCAGAGGACACCUCUGGAGACUAUGUACAAUUUGAAAUUGGAUCGUUUUAUGGGUAAUGAGGGUCACGAAGGGGCAGAGAAAUGGCUAGACCAUAUUGAGAAGACGUUUCAGGUGAUGCAAAGUCAGGGGAACUUUCCUGCUGAUAGGUGGGUUGAGACCACUACCUGGUUUUUGGGUCGAGAGCCGGCAGGUUGGUGGAGGAAUCAAACUCAGUUUAUGUCCCCAGAAAUGGCAGCUGAUUGGGAAGUAUUUAAAGAGAAUUUCAAGAAAAGAUUUGUCCCUCCAAAGUACAUCGAUCGCAAGAAACAGGAGUUUACUCGUUUGAAGCAAAGGAAUAUGUCAGUGCACGAGUACUACAGAAAGUUUACUGAUUUGUCUCGUUAUGACCCUGAUACAGCUGGUAAUCAGGUAGAGAUGCUUCGACGUUUCAAGUUGGGAACUAAGAGAAAAUGGCGGACUUUUGCCAGUGCACUUCCCUGCGCUGAUUAUCAUGAGUUUUUCGAAAUUUUGGUUCGGAUGGAGGACUCCGACAAUCUUCCUAGUGACAGUGAGGAUGACGAGGACGAGAAUGAUGGUCAGAAGAAGGAUGAUAAAGGUAAGGGUAUCUCCAUUCCGGGACCUCGUAAGACGCAGAAUUUUAAGAAGAGUGAAGCGAGUUCGAGUUCUUCUAGUGGAGGAUAUAGUAUUACUGGCCCGAGGAGAGGUGGUGGAAGAUUUUCUGGUGGACCCAGAUUUCAGAAGCAGAGGGAUUCCGGUGGUGCUAGUGGUUCUGGUGCUCCGUGGUGCCGCCGUUGUAAUUUUCGUCAUCAUGGUGAGUGCAUGAAUGGUGGUGGUGCUUGUUAUAAUUGUGGACAAAUGGGACAUCGGGCUUCUCAGUGUCCCUAGGUCAACAGAGACCUCAGCAGACCACUAUGCCACCUCCAGCGCCGAUUCAGCAGAGCUUUGGACCAGGCAGUUAUGGCCAGUCGAGUCGUGGUGGUGCUUACCACUACCAGGGUGAUGCUGCUCCUUAUGCUUCCGGAUCGUAUCAGUAUCCCCAGGAUCCUUAUUCUCAGACUUGGUAUUCCCAAGACCUUGGGGGUUAUUCUUCUUAUUCUUCCAUGCCAGCUGGUGGAUCUCAGUGGCAUCAGGGAGGUCAACCCCGUUAGGGGGAAGUUGCUGCUAGUGGUGUAGGAUCAUCUAGGUAGUCUAGUCAGUCAGGCCAGGGACGUACUUCUCAGGGGCGAGGUAAUCAAGGCAACAGAGGUCGUGGUGGACGACAGCAAGCUCAGGGACGUGUUAAUCACAUCUCACUGCAAGAUGCUCAGAACCAUCCAGAUUUGAUCAUGGGUACGUUAAAUGUUCUUGGUCAUUUUGCUAGAGUUUUGAUUGAUUGUGGUGCUACGCAUUCUGUGAUUUCUCAUACGUUUGCUCAAAUGACUCAACCUCACCCUUCACCUCUAGGAUUUGAUUUAGAGUUUGCCAUGCCUAAAGGAGAUAAAUGUUAUGUUGAUAGUGUGUAUCUUGGGAGUCCAGUGAUGGUAGAGGGCAUAGUGGUCUGCUAAGGUCUCUGCUGACCCUGGGGACACUGAGAAGCCCGAUGUCCCAUUUGUCCACAAGUAUAACAAGCACUACCACCUCUCCUGCACUCACCAUGAUGACGAAAAUUACAACGGCGGCACCACGGAGCACCAAAACCACCAGCACCACCGGAAUCCCUCUGCCUCUGAAAUCUGGGUCCAUCAGAAAAUCCUCCACCACCUCUCCUCGAGCCAGUAAUACUAUAUCAUCCACUAGAAGAACUCGAACUCGCUCCAUUCUUCUUAAAAUUCUGCGUCUUACGAGGUCCCGGAAUGGAGAUACCCUUACCUUUAUCAUCCUUCUUCUGACCAUCAUUCUUGUCCUCGUCAUCCUCACUGUCACUAGGAAGAUUGUCGGAGUCCUCCAUCCGAACCAAAAUUUCGAAAAACUCAUGAUAAUCGGCGCAGGGAAGUGCACUGGCAAAAGUCCACCAUUUUCUCUUAGUUCCCAACUUGAAACGUCGAAGCAUCUCUACCUGAUUACCAGCUGUAUCAGGGUCAUAACGAGACAAAUCAGUAAACUUUCUGUAGUACUCGUGCGCUGACAUAUUCCUUUGCUUCAAACGAGUAAACUCCUGUUUCUUGCGAUCGAUGUACUCUGGAGGGACAAAUCUUUUCUUGACUCUUUAAAUACUUCCCAAUCAGCUACCAUUUCUGGGGACAUAAACUGAGUUUGAUUCCUCCACCAACCUGCCGGCUCUCGACCCAAAAACCAGGUAGUGGUCUCAACCCACCUAUCAGCAGGAAAGUUCCCCUGACUUUGCAUCACCUGAAACGUCUUCUCAAUAUGGUCUAGCCAUUUCUCUGCCCCUUUGUGACCCUCAUUACCCAUAAAACGAUCCAAUUUCAAAUUGUACAUAGUCUCCAGGGGUGUCAUCUGAGGAGGGGGAGGAGGACGAAUUGCAUUCUGAAAAGCCUGGGCCAUUGCUUCCCCUAACUGAGUGAUAUCAGGGAAAUUAGGUUCAGAAGUACGGCGGGAUUCCCUACGUUCCCUACAAGGCGACAUAAUUCUGACAGAAAACAUCAAAAGAUCAUUAGAGCAUUAACAAUUAUACAGGACUGCAACCUAGGCUCUGAUACCAAACUGACACACCCCGAUCCUAGAAUCAAAGCGUGUUGGCCGUCACGUGAGCGUGACGUAGCCAAAAGUGCGACACGGAAGCAAGAGAUAAUAGAAAUAUGAAGGAAUUUAAACCAACCACUAGCAGUAAUAACCUACUAGCAUAAAAGAGUGAGUUCUAAAGUAAAACACACGAAUUCAAAGCGUAGGUAUCAAGUGCAGUCUAGUAGGACUAUAAUUAAAAGUACAACACCCGCAGGUGAGUCCUACAUGCAGAACGCCGAAAAAGACCUUGUGAGCCACCAACUACUAACUAGAACCUGGAGGGGCGCAAAACAAAGAUGAGUGGGUCAGUAAAAUCAAAGAUUUUCCAAAACAUUUCCUUUAAAACAUUUCUAACCCCUCACCGUAAAACCUGUAUACUUUCCCAGAAAUUUAUUAUAAAACAUAUAUACAUAUAUCAUCAAACUCAGCUCACAAUCUUUCAACGCUUUUCAGAAAGAAUAUGCCAUGCCAUGCCAUGCCAAAAUAUAAUAUGAAUGCAUCGAUAUAAAUCAGGUGAAAUAAUAAAUCAACCGGAGACCCUACAAUGGUCAUGACGGCUGAUUUUAUAGCUCAAUAUCCCACUCAGCCGGAGUCACCACAGUGACCUAUACGGCCAUACUCUGCACGUCACUCGGAACUACGUAAGGUAGUCUGUACGAUGAAAGGUGUAAGAAUACGCUCUAGUGCUUCUCUCAUCAAUCAUGGCGCGCAUAACUAAGGUCACCCACUAGUCGGAAUCACAUCUAGUGAUCUAUACGACUAGCAUGUCGAAACCCUCACAUGGUCUGUACGACAGUCACCUACUUGGAUCCAAGGCGAGCCUGCGGUGUGGUGAAUAAUAUAAGCACUAACACCUAGGGUGCAGGUUAUGAGCUUUCAAUGCAAUUCACAUAAAUAAAUCGUAUGAAUAAUGUAAAAACUCACUUGUGCGUCCACAACGUCAAUUCAUAUAUAUAUGCAUCAAUUAUCAAUUCAAAUAUCUCAUCAAUUGCAUGCAUGGCAUUUUAAAACAUAUUUUCAUAUAAAUGCAUUUUCUGGGAAAAACAGUAGUAUAUAGGUAAUACGAAAACAAAGCUGCCCACUCACUGGUAAGUCGAUGGGUCGUAACCCCCGUGACGUCCCUGGAUGCGCUCGUCCUCGGGAUAGGUGUCACCUAUAUGCGAAACAAUUAUAAAAACGUUAAUUAAAACACAUAACCAAUAAUUCGAAAUAACUUUUCAUACGGUGCUCAAUUUGGGUAUGUGAAUAUACCACAACGACCUACUCGACGUCACGAACGACGAGGAAUUUUUAGAAAAUUUUUUGGAAGCCCCACGCGCCGUCAUGCGCCGGCCAAGGCACGGCCAGACGCGCGGUUACGCGCAGGCCACGUGUCGCGCGUGUUGUCUCCUACCCUGGGCUCGUCGGACUGGUUUUUCCGGUGGCCAGAUUCCGACGAAUUUUGUAAUUGCUUGUUCUCCUUCGUUUCUCAACCGUUUUCUUCGAAUUUUAUAUCAAUUUGAAGCCCUCAACAUGUAGAAUCACGAUAGACUAGUUUCAAGGUCUAAAAUUCACUAGAUUUUACCUGGGGAAGCACGAUAAUUCGAAAAUUUUGAGAAACUCCGUUCUCGGUCCUCCGACGUCCAAAUGUUACCAACGAAGUACCCCGAAGCUCGUGAGGAUGUCCUUAAGCUCACUGUGAGCUUGAAAUUCCCUGAAAUGUAAGAUUUCACGUGUGCAUGAACAGUGCACAUUUUCGGGGUUAGGGUUCCACGACGAUUCCGAGGGUUUCACUUCCUAAAACUAGUACCAUUCAACUCAGAAUAUCAAAAGGAUGAAGAAUCAUACCUUAUUUGCUUCGAUCCGCAAAGUUUUGAAGGGUUUUGGUCUUGUCCGUACUAUUUCGAGAGGGAGAGAGUGAGAGAGAGUCGUGAGGGAAGAGAGAGAGAAAGCACGGGGGAAGGGAGAGAGAGCAGGGAGUGCGUGUGUGUGUUUGUGUGGUCCAACGCAAAUCCACAUCAUCAAUUUCUCAUCCUAGCUCCCUAACCACACACAAAAAAUAUCCCACAUAAGCAAAGUCCAAGGUUAAGAAUUUAAGUCUAAAUAAUGCCACACACACAUACCUUAAUACCCGUCAAGGGUAAUUCCGUCAUUUCACGUCCCCGAUAUAAAAAUCCCGGGACAGGCUGUGACACACACGCUCUGACCUGUCAAUAAACAGCACAUCAUAACAAUUUGUUGCAGUAAAUGAAACCCAAAUAUACAAUUGCAAUUCCAGUUCAUUCAAGUCGAUCCUAUUCUAGUUUAAUGGUAAGUCAGUACGGAACCGAGAUUUAGAUUACAACCUCACCAAAAUACAAACCUACACUUAAGCAGAAUAAAAUACAAGAAAUAAAGACACCGAGAAAUUUACGAGAUUCGACAAAAUUAUGCUUACGACCUUAGAGAGAUACUGCUCUUCACUAUUAGGAUAACGAGUACAAGAUACACUUGAGUUAAAUCGACUUAACCCAUUAGGUUCACAAAUGAUUAGUUAUGUAAAAUCGCCUUGGUUAAGAAAAAGAAUAAUGCUUAGACCAACUUUUAAGAUUAAAUUUACAAAUCAUGUGACAUGUCACCAAAUUCCCAUUUAUUCUUUCACGACCGCUUAGGGUUAUAGAGUUUGGCACCAAUUUUGCUUGGAUCAAAUUGUAUACGAGCCUACUGAUGGAUCCACAUAGGAGCCAAUAUAUGCAAUUGCCCCCCUCACCACUUUUCCUACACAUGAAAUUGACAAAAAUUCAUUUGUUAUUCUUCUUGAACCCAAAUACCAUUCAAGCAUGAUGCCUGACAAAAUAUCUCAAAUGACUCAAAGAGGCUGAAGCAUGGUUGGUAGCAAGGGGCAACUUGCCAAAGUGGUGUGCGGGUUUCAUCUCGGCCUCGGAAGAAAGAGAAUCUUCCAUUCCCCACUAAUUUGUAAUUAUUGUGUUCCUUUAACUUCUACCAAAUUCUUUCUAUGCUCGUCUCUUUUAAUUCUUGUUUCUGGUUCUGGCCUGCUGGCCAUUGCCUUGCUUUGGUCUUGUAUGUUAAUGUUUGUCUCUCUUAACAAAUUUGGUCUUUCAUAAAGAUACCAGAAAGAAACCAAUUGGACUUGAUGGUCGUGAAUUUUUGGAUUGGCCAUGUUACAAACUAUUGACAAUAUCAUGUUAUAAACUAUUCUUGCUUAUUAGAGAGGCCGACUCGAACUCAACUGCAAACAGUAAACAAUGAAUAUAUUCUUCUGACUAAGCGCUCGUUUGAAAGUGUUUUUAAAAUAACUUGAAACACUCUUGGUGAAAUUGUUUUUGGCCUCCAAAAGCAUUAUGUAGGAAGCACAUGUGUUUUUCUAAGAUUCACUUGCAUUUUUAGUAAGGAUUAGUUCCAUAAAAAAACUUUCAUCAAAAUGAUUUCGGUUAUUUUAAAAGUACACUUUCCAAACGAGUCCUAACUGGCAUAAAAUUAACCUGAUGUUUAACCAUAUGAAAAUCAUGUAUCUUAAACAAUUAUAUGCAUAAAACAUCAAAAGUAGGCCUACAAAGCGCAACAGACACACUCCGUCCUUCCUAUAUCUUGCACUUUCUUUCUUAUUCAAAGCCAACACUACAAACAAAAGGAAAACUGCAGGACCUUUGCAGCAGCGCAUAUGAGACAGCAAUAGUAAGCAAGCAAGCAAGCUCUCCCCCGCCAUAAGAGUCUGAGAUGAGAGCUUCGUUCAGCUUUUUCUUUAUCCUAGAAGAAGAAGACUGACCCCAAACGAAAUUGUGCACCCUAUAAGCCCGAUUAUAGCCAAGAACCCGUAUUUCCUGUCAUUUUACAAUAACGAAGUGUAAAUUAAGUCUGACAUGUUAUGGUGCUUGUCACAUAAAAAUUUGUAUCAUUGAUAAGUGAAAUCUUAUUGAUCUGAAUAUAUUAUCGGUCAAUAUUUACAGUCUUAUAACAUAAGACUAUGGCUUAAAAUUGCAUAUAAGAAUAUGGUGUUGGUCGCAUAACAUAUCAUGCGAGAUAGAUAUUAACAAAAGAAUAUGGCUUAAAAUUGCAUAUAUAGGAAAGAGAUCCUAUUCGGAUCUCUUCCUCCAAAACCACCAAAUCAAGUGAUCUGGGCCCUUGAAAUUUAAUCCAAUUGCUAAAAACAGAGAAGUUAGUAAAAACUUUUAAAAGUUGUAAUAAUUUUUAACCGUUAUAUCAAAUUUCAAAGGUCCGAAUCACUUGAUUUGAUGGCUUUAGAGGAAAAAGAUCCGGAUCUCUUUCCGCAUAUAUAUAUAAACAAAACCCUAAUGCCUCGUUUAUUGAGAGCAUGUACUUUGUAGGAUUAUUCACACUAAAAAAGACAACUUUUAAACUUAGACAAAAGAAAAAAAAUUGUCAUCCAUUUCUUCAUUCAAAAUGACUUCAAUAUGGUAAAUAAUUCCAAAAUAAAUCCCUUCUAACAGACGAGGACUAAUAGCUCAUCUACACUCCCAUCUCAAAUUUCUUGAUAUCUCCAUUUCUCUAUUAUGAAAAUGAGGCGAGUGCAUAAUGGGUAUCAAUUAAAAUUCAUUUAGUUUAAUUUCAUCUUACAAUAUCAUUAUCACUACUAAUCGCACCCUUAUAUCAUGGUGCUUUUAUAUUAAAUAGGUUUUUUUUUUUUUUGUUGAGUUCCAAAUUAAACGGAUCUUUGCCGAUAUCCAAUAGCAACCUAAUAAAUUGAUUUACCACAUCUACAUAUGACUAUUCUAAAAUUCGAAUGACAAAUAUACCCGAUGGCAAGGCGGUUCAUGGGGUCACCGGUGGCGUAGCCUUUGAAGUAGAAAUAGCGAGUGAAAGUGAAGAGGAAACCAAGGGUGGCGGAGAUGCAAGGAUGCUUAAGACCUCCCAAUACCAGAAGCACAAAGAACAUUGGCAUCAUUUCGAGAGAGUUCUGAUGCCCUCUCUGCACACAGUUGAACACUUUUGCAUCUUUGUUCUCCGAUUCCGACACAUACAUGGUCGGAUAUGGCACCUUGUACCUGCGGCGGUGGUGACCAUUUCCAAUUAAUUGACGAUAAACGAUAAUCAAUUUGACAAACGAUAAUGGUAAUUGUGCUGAAACUACGAGAGAGAGAGAGAGAUUCAAACUUAGCUACAAAGGUUACAAAGGUGAAUCAUACAGCUAUAACCAACUCGACUAACUCAAUUCCAAACAAACAAAGAUCAUAUAAUUACACUAAAUUCAUUUACAAUGUAGGAAAGAGAUUUGAACAUAUAGCUACAGAGGUAGAUCACACAGCUCUAGCCAACUCAACUAACUCAAUUUCAAACAAUUAACAAUAGAUGACAAUAAAUUUGACGAUCGAUAUGAUAAUUGCGCUAAAUUUAUGUACACUACGAGAGAGAGAGAUUCGAACUUAGCUACAGAUGCAAAUCACAUGACUCUGGCCAACUCACUAACUCAAUUCCAAAUAAUUAACAAUAAAUUUGACAAACGAUAUAUAUGAUAACUAUGCUAAAUUCAUCUGAAAUAUGACGAAGGAGUUUCAAAUUAAACACAAAACUCAAACUAAACUCAAGUGUAGAGAACGACGGCGAGGACUACAUAGCCGUAUUCUUUGGGCAGCAAUUCGACUGCAGAAGUCAUUUUCUCUUCUUCUCUUCUUUACGUGGGUUUAAUCUGGGCAUUGGGGUAUCGACCUUUACUAGUCUUAUACUUGUUUCCCGACUUUUUCUCCAAGACAACUCUAGAGUUUAAUAUUUCAACUGUCAUGUACAGAGGGCCAAUUUGCUCACUGCUGAUGCUCACCUUCAUUGAUUACUGUUUUUUUUUUUUUUUUAACAAACGAUAUUAUUUAUAUUAAGAAAUAGAAAUGAACUUAGUCUCAUAAUAAAUUAAACAAUAAUGUAGUUCAAGCUCGUCCUUGGCAAGAAUCGAAUCUAAGACCUCUUACUUACAAGUGAAGAGGAAUACAUUCGUUUGAUAUAAUUGUUUUAACAAAAUUGUUAUUUUUAUGAGUAAUGGUAAGGAUGCUAAAUUUUUUAAACCAAAUUUGCAAACUAAAUGGUGUGGUUGUAGAUGAUUGGAUUAUUAAUUAAGUAUCAAUUAACGUGCUUGUUUCUUAUUGAUGACACAUAAUUUGAUUUGCAAUUUGGUUUAAAAAAUUUAAUUUCUCUAACAUUACUCUAUUUUUAUUAUCUAUUUAUAUCAUCAUUUAUGAUUAUUUUCUCACGAGACCGUAUGUGUUGGUGGGUCCUAUUUGUAUU